AGUCGAGCGAGUCUGCCUUGAAGAUCGGAGUGCUUGCACUCUGUGAAACAAGAUACAGGCUAGCGGCGGACGGGUGAGUAACACGUGGGUAACCUGCCCAAGAGAUCGGGAUAACACCUGGAAACAGAUGCUAAUACCGGAUAACAACAGAUGAUGCCUAUCAACUGUUUAAAAGAUGGUUCUGCUAUCACUCUUGGAUGGACCUGCGGUGCAUUAGCUAGUUGGUAGGGUAACGGCCUACCAAGGCGAUGAUGCAUAGCCGAGUUGAGAGACUGAUCGGCCACAUUGGGACUGAGACACGGCCCAAACUCCUACGGGAGGCAGCAGUAGGGAAUCUUCCACAAUGGACGCAAGUCUGAUGGAGCAACGCCGCGUGAGUGAAGAAGGGUUUCGGCUCGUAAAGCUCUGUUGUUGGUGAAGAAGGACAGGGGUAGUAACUGACCUUUGUUUGACGGUAAUCAAUUAGAAAGUCACGGCUAACUACGUGCCAGCAGCCGCGGUAAUACGUAGGUGGCAAGCGUUGUCCGGAUUUAUUGGGCGUAAAGCGAGUGCAGGCGGCUCGAUAAGUCUGAUGUGAAAGCCUUCGGCUCAACCGGAGAAUUGCAUCAGAAACUGUCGAGCUUGAGUACAGAAGAGGAGAGUGGAACUCCAUGUGUAGCGGUGAAGUGCGUAGAUAUAUGGAAGAACACCGGUGGCGAAGGCGGCUCUCUGGUCUGUUACUGACGCUGAGGCUCGAAAG
rnacentral:rRNA from 1 species